rnacentral:tRNA from 1 species
GCCUGCAUGGAGUAGUGGUUAACUCACCGGACUCCGACUUUCAAUAGCUAGAGUAAGCCGGGAACCCGGGUUCGAUCCCCGGUGCAGGUG